rnacentral:lncRNA from 1 species
CCAUCUUUCCCAAGGUGGAGUCGCUGAUAUUGCUCAUCUCCUCCAAAGCCUACAAUUACGAUAGGUCAGAUCCAGCAGCACUCUAGCACCCAAUUAUGUCCUAGGAAUUCACAGCCUUUACCAAGAAAUACGCAAAAUUAAGAUUUGGUAUACAUACAACAUAUGAAAAAACAGCGGCAUAGCAUUAUACAUUAUCAAUAACACAAACUAUUUCCCAGUAAAAAUGUCAACCAAUGUAACUUGAUGCAAACACAAAUUUGAUCACAAUCUAUUACCAAGAGACAAGACUCUCACCAGGAUGGAGCAACGAAGAAAGAGUAGCUUGUCAACAGUAGCUUCGAAUUUCUCAGAUUUUUACAAAUGUCGCCAAUAAUCUGCAUGCAUAAAACCUUAAAAUAUAAGCCUGCAGACACUUUACAGUUAAUACUCCCUCUGUCUUUUCACUCUGCAUAUUAGACCUCAUUAGGACAAGCCUUUGAUCAACAAAAUAGUAGCAUAAUUGUUGGUAAAAGGUGACACAUAAUUUGCAGGGUAAAAAUUCAGAGUGAGUAUAAUAAAUGUGUCAUAAGUGUUGCUAAGAAUGUAACAAACAUUACACAAAGCAGCAACUAAACAUUUUCUUACAAUGUAUAGGACGAUUGCAUGACAGGUCUGUUUUUUCAGUAGUACAAAGUUAAUGCAAAGAUAAAUUUGAUCACAGCCAUAUUAACAAGAACAGACAAGACUCUCGCUAAGACGGUCAAAGGGAGUAAAGUCUGUUUCCAGUCAAAACCUAAAAAUGUCACCCAGUGUUACAUCUUGAUGCAUAGACAAAUUUGAUUACAACCGUAUUACCAAGAGACAAGUACGACUCACCAGGAUGGUCAAAGGGAGUAAAAGAGUAGCUUGGUCAAAUCAGAGCUGUUAUGAGCUCUUUAACUUCGGGUUUGUCAGAUUUUUUAAAAUGUCCCUGAUGCUCUGCAUGCACAAGACCAUAAAAUAA